rnacentral:rRNA from 1 species
GAUGAACGCUAGCUACAGGCUUAACACAUGCAAGUCGAAGGGAAACGACAUCGAAAGCUUGCUUUUGAUGGGCGUCGACCGGCGCACGGGUGAGUAACGCGUAUCCAACCUGCCCACCACUUGGGGGAUAACCUUGCGAAAGUAAGACUAAUACCCGAUGAUAUCUCUAGACGACAUCUGAAAGGGAUUAAAGAUUUAUCGGUGAUGGAUGGGGAUGCGUCUGAUUAGCUUGUUGGCGGGGUAACGGCCCACCAAGGCAACGAUCAGUAGGGGUUCUGAGAGGAAGGUCCCCCCACAUUGGAACUGAGACACGGUCCAAACUCCUACGGGAGGCAGCAGUGAGGAAUAUUGGUCAAUGGGCGAGAGCCUGAACCAGCCAAGUAGCGUGCAGGAAGACGGCCCUAUGGGUUGUAAACUGCUUUUAUAAGGGAAUAAAGUGAGUCUCGUGAGACUUUUUGCAUGUACCUUAUGAAUAAGGACCGGCUAAUUCCGUG